ACCUCUGGGGUUCCCCAGCAGUGUGUGACUUCCAAGGUCACUCAGAAUCCUGGGGACAAUGAUCUCAAAGGUGGUGGCUUCUAGGUGGACAUGGGGGAGGCACACAGGCAUCUACCUUUCCCUCCUGGCAGAGAGAAGAGGGGAGCUUUAAAAACACGAGUCCACAACAAUGGGGAACAUGGGCGAGGACAUGGAAUCGACAUUUAGGAAGCUGGAGAAACAGAUGGACAGGUGGAAAUGAUGCUCCGGGAAGCAACUCUGAGCUGGCAGUGAAAUCAGGAAUUUGUGGCCCCAAGUCCUUCUGGACACAAAAAGCAUCUCAAGGAUGUGCUCCACCAAACCAAGGGGGUAAACCAAGAAACAGAAGGAUACGAGCUCAGAGAAUCAAGAGUGGAAUUCCAUCUGGAUAGUCAGGAGACCCAGAACAGACUUUUCAGAAAGAUGGAAAGAUAAAACACCUGUAGAGCCCAAGGAUCCUUUAAAAAGCUUUUUUUCAGUAAUCAUUUUUCCUAAAUGAAUGUGAAAAUUAAGCAAAUGGAAAAAGUCUCCAGGGAAAGCAAGAAGCUAUGCCAGAGAUAAGAAGAUGAGUCUGUGUCCACAUCACAUCCACCCAGCUGUGGGGUCAGUGCUUUUCCUGAAGAUCCAUCCUUUUGAGAUGUAUACAGACUUUACUCACGUUGGAGGAGUGGAGAGAUUUACACAGCAGAUACCCUCUACUUCCAGCCUCCAACGUGCUCUGGAGACCAAGAAACAGGCCUGGAAAGGUUAAGCAACUUGCCCGGUGGUAAACAGCCAAUUCAGGGCAAACUGGGACUUGAAUCCAGACCCACCCAGCUGUGCGCUCACCUCGUCAAUCUCACACUGGACCACAGACUCCACAGAGGAAUGCUUGACCACCUCCCGCAGGACGCCUCCGUCCCCGCCCCCAAUGAUCAGCACCUGCCAAGGAGAGGAAGAGUCAGCCAGGAGCGGCAGGAGCCCCACCAAAUAGGCUCCAGCGGGAGUUAGUGGCCGGCCUCUCUGCCCCUAAACCGCACUGAGCAGACAGAGCUCCCUGGAACAAUUCCUCAGCUUCCCUGUGUCACAGACCUAAU